UAGGUUGGAAUGAACCAAAAGAUUUGUAGACCAAUAGAUGCCGUCAGCUUUUCCAUUACAUUGACCGCGUCAACCCGCAUAGGACAGGGAAGAUGAAACUGUAAAGUAUCAAGUUACCAUAGGGGGUUUUAGGGGAGAAGGAGAUUGGCAGCUGCAUCGAGGAGGAGAUAUGGUUAAUAGUGGUCUCCGUCGUCCUUCCCUCUACAAAACAUAAAAAUUCCCUUCGAAGAAAAUUGAAAUCUGCAAACGAUAGGUCAUUUUGAGAAUGGCCGUUCAAACGAAAUUACGACCUGUCCGAGUUUCAGAUGUUGCGAAAUAUGAUGGACGAAAUAAGGCAAAACUUUUGGUCUCGGGUGGAAUCAGGAAUGGCGUCGAGUGUGGUGAAAUCCCUAAUCAAAUCAUCUUCCUCACACCGCCAAAUGGAUGCAGAGUGCUUGUAGUAUGAGGCUGGAGGACACGAUGGAGCUGCUGGAAAAGAAGCUAGCGUCAGAUGAGCUUAGAGGAGGCACUCACUCUCGCUCGUGUUUUCAGCCAUUACCUCAAUUUGAUGGGCGUUGCUGAAGUUCAUCACAGGGUUCGUAGACAAAAGAAUGUGGCAUCCCUAUCAAAAUCUUGUGAUGAUAUUUUUAAUCAGCUUCUCAGCAUGGUGUUUCCCGAGACCAUCUUUACGAUACCGUUUGCAAGCAGGUGCGAGAGAUAACUUCUGUAUGGCAAACAGAUGAGCUUAGACACCAUAAACCCACACCAGGUUAUGAAGCUAGGGCAGGUUUGAACAUUGUGGAGCAGCCCCUUUGGAAAGCUGUACCUCAUUAUUUACGUCAUGUCAGCAAUGCUUUAAAGAAGCACACUGGGAAACUGGAAAACCACUUCCGUUGAAAUGCACACCAAUCAGGUUUGGGUCUUGGAUAGGGGUUGAUCAAGAUGGAAAUCCCAAUGUGACAGCAAAGGUACUCGUGGGUCUUAUUGAUAUUUUAUUCAUAAAUCUUCUCCUAAUGGUAGUAUUUACUCUCUUAAAUCUAGGAGAGACCUUUCAUGUCAACAAAAGACCUGAAGCAUGAACUAAUCAUAACUUUGGGAUAUAUUAGAUCUGUGUUAUACAUAACUUAGUUUACUGUAUUGGUAAUGGUGUUGGUAAUUCAUGGGGCAGUAAAUCAUGUUUUGAGGGCAAUAAAGCAAGCCCUCGUACUUAGAAUCAAUUACUUAACUGUACGGAGACAUUGAUGGAUAAGCAUGACUUAGUUGUGUAAAGUUUUAGACCAUCAGUUUAACCUUCAUUUCUGCUAUCCCUUCCCUGUUCUUUUUUUUGGGGUAUGAGAGAGGAGGUUUUAGUUUUAAGGAUUCCAGUUUGCUGCCAGAAUUCAUGAUUAGAUUGCAAACUUAAGAUUAUUGUUUAUGUAGAAUUUAUAAUGCUGUCAGACUGUCUAGCUCUUCUACACAAUUAUGUCAACUUGCCUCUUUCUAUUGCUUCCGGUCACAAAAGAUGUCUCGCUUUUAUCUAGGUGGAUGACUAUUGAUCUCUAUAUUAGAGAAGUGGAUAGCCUGAAAUUUGAACUAUCCAUGAAUUAGUGCAGCGAUAGCUUGUCAAAACUGGCACAAGAGAUUCUAGAGCACGAAUGCAAUGUUGGUCAUCUUCACUAUCCCAGAAUUGAAAUGUUGGUCAUUUUAACUGAAGAUUGCAUUGGGGCAGGAAUCUGGUAGACAUGCUGAAACACUUAAUGCAAUUACCAAAUAUUUGGAUAUGGGCACAUACAGUGAGUGGGAUGAAGAAAAGAAACUGGAAUUUCUAACAAGAGAGUUCAAAGGAAAAAGAUGCUAGUCCCACCUAGCAUGGAGGGUACUCUACGAUCAACUGAGCAAGGAGAAAUGGUACGGUCAAAAUUUGGGCUACCACAGAUUGCAGUUAGACAGCUAGAGGUGUAUUGCUUGCAACGUUGCGUCCACCACACCCUCCUCAAGAACAAAAGUAGCGUAACCACAUGGAGGAGAUCUCAAAGAUCAGUUGUCAGAAUUUACUGGAGCGUAGUCUACAAAAAUCCAGAAUUCCUUACUUACUUCCAAGAGGCUACAUCCCAGGCUGAGCUUGGCUUCCUCAACAUAGGAAGCCGCCCCUCAAGAAGAAAGAGCUCUACUGGAAUUGGGCAUCUUCGGGCAAUUCCAUGGGUGUUUGCAUGGACUCAAACUAGAUUUGUUCUUCCAGCUUGGGUUGGAGUUGAACCAGCUUUAAGGUGGGGUUUGUGAGAAGGGUUUUAUUUGAAACCUUCUGUUAGAAUCAUUAGUAUUCAGAUCUUUGGUUGAUGCCCUACCGACCCAGAAUGUUGAUGGGAAUUCACAUUUUUGACUGCUAGUAUCAUCUUUGGAGCAUAAUUGUUUGCUGUUGUAUGAGAUGAAUUCAAUUCACCAUGCCCUACUGAAGAGAUUUCUGCUUAAAGUUUUCAUUUGGUAGAAGAAAAACUAGUAUAUCUAGAAUGAGAUUAGCAGUCUAAUUAUGCUCCACCCUUGUACGAGUUUGUAAUUACUUAGGUCAUUGCAUAUUUUUGACAAGUGCUGCUACUGGCUAUUUGUUCUGUUGGAUAGUUUUGGUGUUUAGCAGUAGAUAGUAGCUUGGAUGUUUAACAGGAGCUGCUAUGCCAUCUGUUCUGUUUCAUUUUUAUGCUUUCAUCUUAAAAUUGAGUUAAGUAUAUUCAUCUUUU